CACGUAGGGGCCAAGCGUUGUCCGGAUUUAUUGGGCGUAAAGAGCUCGUAGGCGGUUCGACAAGUCAGGUGUGAAAACUCCGGGCUCAACCCGGAGACGCCACCCGAUACUGUCGUGACUGGAGUCCGGUAGGGGAGUGGGGAAUUCCUGGUGUAGCGGUGAAAUGCGCAGAUAUCAGGAGGAACACCGGUGGCGAAGGCGCCACUCUGGGCCGGUACUGACGCUGAGGAGCGAAAGCGUGGGGAGCGAACAGG
rnacentral:rRNA from 1 species